GGUUACUGCUAUCGGUGUUCGCCUAAGCCAUGCGAGUCAUAUGUUCUUCGUGAACAUGGCGUACUGCUCAGUAACACGUGGAUAACCUGCCCUUGGGUCCGGCAUAACCCCGGGAAACUGGGGAUAAUUCCGGAUAACGCACAUAUGCUGGAAUGCUUUAUGCGUCAAAUGGAUUCGUCUGCCCAAGGAUGGGUCUGCGGCCUAUCAGGUAGUAGUGGGUGUAAUGUACCUACUAGCCGACGACGGGUACGGGUUGUGAGAGCAAGAGCCCGGAGAUGGAUUCUGAGACAUGAAUCCAGGCCCUACGGGGCGCAGCAGGCGCGAAAACUUUACAAUGCGGGAAACCGUGAUAAGGGGACACCGAGUGCCAGCAUCAUAUGCUGGCUGUCCGGGUGUGUAAAAUACACCUGUUAGCAAGGGCCGGGCAAGACCGGUGCCAGCCGCCGCGGUAACACCGGCGGCCCGAGUGGUGAUCGUGAUUAUUGGGUCUAAAGGGUCCGUAGCCGGUUUGGUCAGUCCUCCGGGAAAUCUGACGGCUUAACCGUUAGGCUUUCAGAGGAUACUGCCAGGCUUGGAACCGGGAGAGGUAAGAGGUACUACAGGGGUAGGAGUGAAAUCUUGUAAUCCCUGUGGGACCACCUGUGGCGAAGGCGUCUUACCAGAACGGGUUCGACGGCGAGGGACGAAAGCUGGGGGCACGAACCGGAUUAGAUACCCGGGUAGUCCCAGCCGUAAACGAUGCUCGCUAGGUGUCAGGCAUGGCGCGACCGUGUCUGGUGCCGUAGGGAAGCCGUGAAGCGAGCCACCUGGGAAGUACGGCCGCAAGGCUGAAACUUAAAGGAAUUGGCGGGGGAGCACAACAACGGGUGGAACCUGCGGUUU
rnacentral:rRNA from 1 species